ACCCUCCAGGUUCCUUACCCUUCAGAUCUAAAUAUUGGUCUGACUGGCUCAAAAAGGAGUGAAAGUACAAUUGAAGUGGACUUAGAGUCUUUACUGACAUACAAGUUUAUUCCAGACAUAA
rnacentral:snoRNA from 1 species